rnacentral:rRNA from 1 species
GUCUUAUUGAUAAUAAUUUUAAGUCUAGUCUGCCCAAUGAUUAUUUAAAUGGCUGCAGUAUUUUAACUGUACAAAGGUAGCAUAGUAAUUAGUUUCUUAAUUAGGAACUGGAAUGAAUGAUUGAACGAGAUAAUAACUGUCUCAUUUAAAGUUAUAGAAUUUUAUCUUUAAGUUAAAAAGCUUAAAUUUAUUUAAAAGACGAGAAGACCCUAUAGAAUUUUAUAUUAUUAUAAAGUUAAGAUAUUAGGAAUAAAGGGCUUAAUUUUUUUAAAAUUAUUUGAUUGGGGUGAUUAAAAAAUUUAUUAAACUUUUUUUAUCUUUUAUCAUAAAUAUAUGAUUUAAUGAUCCAAUUUUUUUGAUUAUAAGAUUAAAUUACCUUAGGGAUAACAGCGUAAUUUUUUUGGAGAGUUCAUAUUGAUAAAAGAGAUUGCGACCUCGAUGUUGGAUUAAAGUUAAUUUUUAAUGUAGAAGUUAAAAUAUUAAGUCUGUUCGACUUUUAAAACUUUACAUGAUCUGAGUUUAAACCGGUGUGAGCCAGGUUGGAUUCUAUCUUUAAUUAGAUAGUAUAUUUUAGUACGAAAGGACCAAGUAUAUAUUAAAUUAAUUGUUUUUGAGUAAUA